rnacentral:rRNA from 1 species
CCGGCGCACGGGUGCGUAACACGUAUACAAUCUGCCCAUAACAGGGGGAUAGCCCGGAGAAAUCCGGAUUAACCCCCCAUAAUAGUUGAAUCGGCAUCGGUUUAACUUGAAAACUACGGUGGUUAUGGAUGAGUAUGCGUAUGAUUAGCUAGUUGGUGAGGUAAUGGCUCACCAAGGCGACGAUCAUUAGGGGUACUGAGAGGUUAAACCCCCACACGGAUACUGAGACACGGAUCCG